UGUGGUUUUAAUGGACUUGGAACGCUGCUGGAGGACCCCCUCGCUCUCGCUCCUCGUCCGCCCGGCCGAGCCCCUGCAAGGGACUCAGGUGGCCUGCCACGGUGGGUGUUCGGGUGACAGCAGUGAGCAGGGUGUGGGCAGAGUAAGUGGAGGGCACUGGCGGUCCUGAGAAGCUGAGUUGGGGGGCCGUGCAUUUUCAGGCAGCAGGUGACGGGUGUGGGGCUCGGAGAGAAGCGGUUGGGUUGGGGACACGGCUUGGAGGCAGAGUGGUCCGGACAUGCCGUCGGGUGGACGUGGAAUAAUCGAGAAACAGAGAGGACAGGCAUGGCCCCUGGCUCUGGGCUCAGUGGAGGGUGCUGCCAUUUCCUGAGAUGGGGACACUGGGGGAGGAGAGGGUGGGGGGGCACUUGGGAAAUAGAAAGUUCAGUUUGGAUGUGUUAACUCUGAGAUGCCUGCUCCAUAUCUGGCUGCAGAGGCCAGGCAGGCAGGUAGCCCUACGAGUCUAGGGCUCGGGGAAGGGCAUGCUGGAGAUAUACACACGUUCCGCACGUUUAGAUCAACCAUGGGCACACCUGCCAUAUCUGCAGGGGCGGGAGUCAGAGACAGAGUCCAGAAGUUUCUCUGAUGUCCCCCACCUCCCCACUGGCUGGAGCUCAGAAGGUCAUGUCUGGACAAGGACAGUUUUGAUGGAGCGAUGAAAGGAAUUCCCAGAUGUUCAUCUUGCGGGUGGGAAGGAUCCAGGUGAGGGCGGAGUUUGCUGGUCCGGCGAUUGUGCGGAUGACCUCGGGAGCUGUGCGGCGCAGGCCGGGAAGGACCCGGUGGCUUUGCUGGGCGGGGGCUGCCAAGAUGGUCACGCCCGGACCACGUGGACUUGUUCCCCCGGAACGUGCAGUCCCCUCGCCCAGAACAGAGGUCAGGGGAUGACCACCCCACGCAGGGGACGGAGAAACGCCCGCUGCUCGUCCCGCUCGGGCCAGCAGCACUCACCGUGCUCUACUGCGAACCGCGUCUCUUUCUCAGGGAACUUGUAUCCUGACUUCUCUCAAGAAUGUUCUCGGUAAAGCCAACGCCUGAGUUCUCCUGAUGGCACCGUGAUGGGGAGACACGUUUGCUUGCAGCCCGUUAGUCAGGAGCGACAAGAUCUAACUUUGACAGAAAGAAGAGUGUGUGAGAAGCCUCGGAGACGUCUCAGGCACCUACGCUCGGGAUGGAGCAGCUGGACCCAAGGGCUUGCGGGCAGCGAGGACCCUCUCUCCGCGUGUGGGUUUCCUUCAUUUUUACCCACUUCCUCUCCAAAGCGACACAGCCCCUGCAGCCCUGGGACGCUGUCUCCAGACCCUGCGCGCUGGCGAGGGCUCCGUCAUCCUCAGUGUCUCAAGACUUCAAGCCCAGGGGCAGCGGGGCUCUAGUUGGCUCUGCUAAGGUCAGAGGUCAACCCCUAGAUCCGUCAGCUGAAUUCAGGGGUUGGGAGGGUUCAUGGCAGACCUCGUACCUCCAGAUGGAACCAUGUGAUUGGGGCUGCGGGGUGGAAAAUUUCUCAGGAAGGAAAGUGCUGGCCGACAGAAGAACACAUGAUUCUACAAAACCAGGUCAGGAAAGAUCCAUCCUUUCUUUACCCAGGGAGGCUCUCCGCAUAGCGGGCAUCGCAGUCUGGUUUAUUAGGCAGAUACUCACUCCCCUCCCACUGGGGAGCUUGAGGCGAGUUUCCGUGUUGGGCUCACACCCUUGUGCUUCAGCCUUGCCAGGAGGCUGACCUAGGCCACUGUCCCCCCAGAGAGAGACGAGGGGAGCAGAGCCGUCUCAGCUGACCGCGGACCUGGCGUGGACACAGAACCGGCUCACCGGUCUGCCCCGUGUGCCCUAAAGCGGUGGGCGUGCGGCUGAGUGAUGAACAGAGCAUUGCGCCGGGUUUGCGGGGAGUUGAUUGUGCAGUGAACGUGAGCUGGGACGGCUGGGACAGCUUCUUGUCCGAGCCUCACCGUCACAGACUCUUCGGGGCUCGAAUGGGCACAUGUGCCCUUCUGGUUUUUCCCGUCGCCCCUUCUGAGCCACCGACGGGCCCGUCCUCCAGCCAAUCCUGCAAGGCUGCCCCUCAUCGGCCCCUCCGUGACCCUGGCUCAGGCCACGUCAGCUGGGCCUCACACGCUGCUGUGAGUUUCCAGAACCCAUAAAGAACGAUUCAGCUCAGUAAGAAUAACUCAAGUUUUUAGGAAAUGGACACAAGCUUUGAACGGAUGCUUCAUGGAAAAAAGAUACACAAAUGGCCAAUGAACACACAAAAAGGCACUCAGUGUUAUUAGUCGUGAAGGCACACAUUGAAACCACCUGAGACGUCACUCCACAGCCACCGAGAUGGUAACGUUAAAAAGACGAGCCACACCAAAUGCUGGCAAGGAGGCGGGAGACGCGGGCCUCAGGGACUGCGGUGCAGUCGCUUCGGAAAACACUGUAUCAGUUUCUUCUUUCCUUUUUUUUAGGUUUAUUUAUUUAUUUGUCAGAGACAGAGACAGAGAGUGAGCACAAGCAGGGGCAGAGGCAGAGGGAGAAGCAGGCUCUCCACUGAGCAGGGAGCCCGACAUGGGAUUCGAUCCCAGGACCCUGAGAUCAUGGCCUGAGCUGAAGGCAGAGGCUUAAUGACUGAGGCACCCAGGCGCCCCGCACUGUGGCGGUUUCUGAGGAAGUGGAGUUUCUUCUUAAAAAAAAAAAAAAAAGCCACUUCUCAUAGGACCCACAGUCCUACUCCCAGAUGUCUGCCUAGGAGGAAUGGGCACGUAGGUUCACUAAAGAAAUCUGUAUGGGAAAGUUUCUCGCAGCUUUACUCGUAACGGCCAGAAGGUGUCAGGAGGAGACUGGACAACACAUCGUGGUAUAUGCAGCAGUGGAAGAACGGCUUAGCAACAAAACAAACCACGUGUCCAUCUGCUCAGCAGCACACGAGACUCUCGAGACCAUUGAGCAGAGGAACGGAAGGGACAAGAGUAUGCGUGAUUGAUUUCAUGUUUUUGAUUUUAGGAAACAUGAAUCCUUUGUGAUGUCCAGUAGAUCCGUUGCCUGUGGCCGGGAGGGUGAUGGGACUGAGGGCAAAGGCGCAAGCAGAAACAUUUUGGGGUGCUCGAAAUGCUUCAUACGUUGACAGGGGUGUUCAGACACUUGUCUGAAUGCGUGAAGUGGGGCCUUUAAGUGGAUGGAUUUUUAUAUUUGGAAAUUAUAGCUCAAUAACAUUGAUUAAAAAUCUUUGC